rnacentral:lncRNA from 1 species
CACUUUAGACUUCUGAGUACUAGGAUUAGGUGCUCAUGUCUUUUCAUGAUUUUGUUAUCUUCAUUUCAGGAGUGCUCAGCUUUUGGAAAGCAAAUAAAAAACCAAGAUAGAAAAUGUUGAGGCAACAGAGCCAUCUACCCAAGAAAAUGCUGUGGGAGGAAGAGAAGUUUUGGAAGUUUCUAUCCCACAUGGCUGGGUGACAAAAGGAACAUGGUUUUUCACGUGUGGAGAAAGCUUUGAGCCUGGUCUCCACUAUGCAGAUUCUCAGCAUAUAGCAGUCACAAGGAGGAAGCAGGAAACGAGAGUGAAGGUGAUGGGUUGAGACAAGGUGAACAUGCUGAGAAGAGGACCCAGGAUCACACUGCCAGUGGUGUCUGAGCUGACAGGCAUGGCCUGUAAUUCACGGAUAAAAUGGCUAUGAAAUCAUUUCCACAAAGUUGAGCAGGAAUUCAGUGAUUGCUACUAAGAAGGUACUGGUCCAGGUUCCCAAGGCCAAUGUUCAUGAAGGUGUGAUUAUUCACAAUGAGGGUGUAACAUGGGGGAUUAGAGAUCUACCAUAAGCCACAACUUCAAGGAGGAGACAUUCAUCCUUAGAAAGAGGGAUGUGGACAUCUUGGCAUAACCACUGGUACGGGUGAAAGUGGGAAAGUCCCUGAAGUAUCAGAUCAGUACACAGUAGUCCCAACAAAGCUUAAGGAAUGCCAGAUUACUGAAAAAAAAAAAAAGAUGAGCCUGUGAAGAAUCCAAUCUCAUUGCAGUAACAGUAAGGCUGUGGCCUAACUAUUGUGACCAGGUAGGAAAAACAGCAAUCACAAAGAAGGCAGCUUUAGUUCAAGGUUGUUGGGGAAAUGAAUUCAUUCACCUAAGAGGCAUUGUCUCCUAAACUUCCCAUUUACUCAAGUGCUGGGGAAAGGAGACACAACAGAAUGUGAUCUAUAGGGGGAUGGAGGGGAGCAUCUCAAUAAGCUGUUGAAAUUCGUGUUCUGGGGCUCUAACUAUUUUGUAUCAUUAUUUGUUUACUGGGUUAGGCUCAGCUGUUUAAGUGUUCAGUAGUAGAAAUAUAUCUUCUCUUUGCUUUUUGUCUUAUAUAAACUUAAAUGACGAUGAACAAUUAACUAGGUUUUUUUUUCUCUGUUAGAGACCAAAUAAAGGCACUUGUAUAUAAGCA